UACGUAGGUGGCAAGCGUUGUCCGGAUUUAUUGGGUUUAAAGGGUGCGUAGGCGGCCCUGUAAGUCAGUGCUGAAAUAUCCCGGCUUAACCGGGAGGGUGGCAUUGAUACUGCAGGGCUUGAGUACAGAUGAAGUAGGCGGAAUUGACGGUGUAGCGGUGAAAUGCAUAGAUAUCGUCAAGAACACCGAUAGCGAAGGCAGCUUACUAAGCUGUAACUGACGCUGAGGCACGAAAGUGUGGGGAUCAGACAGG
rnacentral:rRNA from 1 species